rnacentral:rRNA from 1 species
UGGGGAAUAUUGCACAAUGGGCGAAAGCCUGAUGCAGCAACGCCGCGUGAGGGACGACGGCCUUCGGGUUGUAACCUCUUUUAGCAAGGAAGAAGCGAAAGUGACGGUACUUGCAGAAAAAAGCGCCGGCUAACUACGUGCCAGCAGCCGCGGUAAUACGUAGGGCGCAAGCGUUAUCCGGAAUUAUUGGGCGUAAAGAGCUCGUAGGCGGUUUGUCGCGUCUGCUGUGAAAACCCGAGGCUCAACCUCGGGCCUGCAGUGGGUACGGGCAGACUAGAGUGCGGUAGGGGAGAUUGGAACUCCUGGNGUAGCGGUGGAAUGCGCAGAUAUCAGGAAGAACACCGAUGGGCGAAGGCAGAUCUNUGGGCCCGUAACUGACGCUGAGGAGCGAAAAGGGUGGGGAGCAAACAGGCUUAGAUGACCCUGGUAGUCCACCCCGUAAACGUUGGGAACU